rnacentral:lncRNA from 1 species
AAGUGCAAAGGAACCGGCUCAUUGUAAGAAAGCCCAAGAGUAAGCUAUGUGAGGUUGAUGGCGAUGCUUAAAAAGCAAUCGACUUACAAGGGUGUGAAAAUGGGCUCGAUAUUAAAUCGAGAAAAAUAUGAUUUUUAUAGUUUAAAAAUGGUUUUUGAAUGAAUGAUGCAAUUAAAAGAAAACAAAUCUAUGUUAUUAAACAAUAAUAAAAACUAUGAGUAAUAAAGCAUAAACAUAAAAGAAAAUAUUAAAAGGAAAAGAAAAAAAAAGCUACACAUAGGGGUAUCGAACCCACUACACUAAAGACCUAGAAAACAAUCCUCUCCACCAGGCCACCUACCAACUAGUUGUUAUUUUAAUACUAACUUAAAUAUAUAAACUAAGAUAAAUUAAAAAAAAUAAUUAAAAUAAAAAAACUAAUAAUAAAAAAAACUGGUGGACUACCCUAAUUAAACCCAGCCACUUGGCUGUUGGGUUUUAGAGGCUAGGGGUUGGGAACAUAAAAUAGCACUCAACUAGAAACUAAUACCAAUAAACCACAAUAAACCACGGUUAAUGACUACUUAAAAACUCUAAACAUCCACUUAAUGGGAUUUAAAAGUCUGUUUUUAAAAAAAGGAAUAAAGCAUUGAAUAAAUAAAAUAAAAAAAAUAAAAAAAAGUGAGGACGCAAAACAGAGCUCAAUCGUCCUCCUCUCUCAUUCGCGCUUCACUCACUUCUCUCAACCUCUCCACGAAUCUCUCUCACAUUUUCAACCUCUCAGGUUCUCUCUUCAAUCGCUUUCAUCGCUAACCUCAC